GCCACCAUAGCUCAGUGGGUAGAGCGUUGGUCUCGUAAACCAUACGUCGAGAGUUCAAAUCUCGUUGGCGGCA
rnacentral:tRNA from 1 species